rnacentral:rRNA from 1 species
CCUACGGGUGGCAGCAGUGAGGAAUCUUGGUCAAUGGACGAGAGUCUGAACCAGCCAAGUAGCGUGAAUGAUGACUGCCCUAUGGGUUGUAAACUUCUUUUAUAUGGGAAUAAAAUGUUCCACGUGUGGGAUUUUGUAUGUACCAUAUGAAUAAGGAUCGGCUAACUCCGUGCCAGCAGCCGCGGUAAUACGGAGGAUCAGAGCGUUAUCCGGUUUUAUUGGGUUUAAAGGGAGCGUAGGUGGAGUGUUAAGUCAGUUGUGAAAGUUUGCGGCUCAACCGUAAAAUUGCAGUUGAAACUGGCAGUCUUGAGUACAGUAGAGGUGAGCGGAAUUCGUGGUGUAGCGGUGAAAUGCUUAGAUAUCACGAAGAACUCCGAUUGCGAAGGCAGUUCACUGGACUGCAACUGACACUGAGGCUCGAAAGUGUGGGUAUCAAACAGGAUUAGAUACCCUAGUAGUC